rnacentral:rRNA from 1 species
GCAAGAUACCACGGGCGCACGGCGGAUGCCUUGGCACAGGGAGCCGAUGAAGGACGCGGCAAGCUGCGAUAAUCCCCGGCGAGGAGCACACAUCCUUCGACCCGGGGGUCUCCGAAUGGGCGAACCCAUCCACAGCAGUGUGGAUAUCCCCACCCCGAACACAUAGGGGUGGGGAGGACAACCCGGGGAACUGAAACAUCUAAGUACCCGGAGGAGAGGAAAUCAAUCUCGAGACUCCCCGAGUAGCGGCGAGCGAAAGGGGACCGAUGGCCAAACCGUCGAGCGGGCAUACCCGGCAGGGGUUCCGCCGACGGGGUUGCAGGGCCGCGCAUCCGGGGGCUGCCGCCCCCGGGCGCAGGUCCGGCUGGGGAGCGGAACGGCAUGGGAGGGCCGGCCGCAGCGGGUGACAGCCCCGUACGCGAACCCAGACCGGACGGCGCGACGCGGUCCCUGAGUAGGGCCGGGCACGUGAAACCCGGUCCGAACCUGGGUGGACCACCAUCCAAGCCUGAGUACUACCCUGUGACCGAUAGCGCACCAGUACCGUGAGGGAAAGGUGAAAAGCACCCCGGGAGGGGAGUGAAACAGUACCUGAAACCGUGCGCCCACGAGCAGUCGGAGCACCUAUACGGUGUGACGGCGUGCCUUUUGUAGAAUGAGCCAGCGAGUCGCUGGCGCGGGGCGAGGUUAACCGAAAGGGAGCCGUAGCGAAAGCGAGCCUUAACAGGGCGACUUGAGUCCCGCGCCGCGGACGCGAAGCCGGGUGAGCUAUCCGUGGGCAGGCUGAAGCGGGGGUAAGACCCCGUGGAGGGCCGAACGCACGUCGGUUGAAAACGGCGGCGAUGACCUGCGGAUAGGGGUGAAAGGCCAAUCAAACCCGGAGAUAUCUCGUUCUCCCCGAAAUAGCUUUAGGGCUAGCGUCGCGCGUUCACCGCCGGAGGUAGAGCACCGGAUGGACGAGGGGGCUUCGCCGCCUACCGAAUCCAACCGAACUCCGAAUGCCGGCGGCCCAGAGCGCGGCAGUCAGAGCAUGUGGGCUAAGCUGUGUGCUCGAGAGGGAAACAGCCCGGACCGCCCGCUAAGGUCCCCAAGUUCCAGCCGAGUGGCAAAGGAUGUGCGUCCGCCCAGACAACCAGGAUGUUGGCUUAGAAGCAGCCAUGCAUUCAAAGAGUGCGUAACAGCUCACUGGUCGAGUGGACAUGCGCCGACAAUACACGGGGCUAAGCUGGACACCGAAGCGGCGGGAUUUUAUUUCAUAGAAUCGGUAGGGGAGCUUCCCAUGGGCGGGGAAGCCGCCGGGCGACCGGCGGUGGAGCGCAUGGGAGUGAGAAUGCUGGCAUGAGUAGCGAGAGACGAGAGAGUAACUCGUCCGCCGUGAACCCGAGGUUUCCUGGGCAAGGCUAAUCCUCCCAGGGUCAGUCGGGGGCUAAGGCGAGGCCGGGAGGCGUAGCCGACGCGCAGCAGGCAGACAUUCCUGCACCGCGCACGCGGCGCUACGACCGACGGGGCGACGGAUGGGGGUGGCUCGGCGGGGUUCUGGACGUCCCCGUGAUGGAGCGCGGCCCGCGGACCAGGGAAAUCCGGUCCGCACGAGGGCGAGGCUCCGGACGAAGCGAUCAAGCGAAGCGAGUGAGCCCGAGGUCCCUAGAAAAACCCCUAGGCAGGCGCGUGCGCGCCCGUACCGCAAACCGACACAGGUGGGUGGGUAGAACAUACCGAGGCGAUCGGGUCAACCAUGGUCAAGGAACUCGGCACAAUGGCCCCGUAACUUCGGGAGAAGGGGUGCCCGCGCGUACGUGAACGGACUUGCUCCGGGAGCGGAGGCGGGCCGCAGUGGAGAGGCCCAAGCGACUGUUUACCAAAAACACAGGACUCUGCAGAAGCCGCAAGGCGACGUAUAGGGUCUGACGCCUGCCCGGUGCCGGAAGGUCACGCGGAGGAGUUAGCGCAUCGCGCGAAGCCCCGAAGCCAAGCCCCGGUAAACGGCGGCCGUAACUAUAACGGUCCUAAGGUAGCGAAAUUCCUUGUCGGGU